CACCUGGCCGCCUGGUCUCGUCUGUCCACCUCUUCUCCCCAGAUUGUCCCCUCCCGGAGUUUUCCGGCUUCUCUCUUCUCCCUUGCUCUGACAGGGAUCCAAGAAAGCUUUUUGGGGGAUGGAAGAGGCAGGAAGUCAGCCCAGUUAAUGUCAAGUACACAAUACUGAAGGUUCCUCGUGGAUUUCCAAAGGACAGUAGCUGCCUCUCAGCAUCUUUUCGUCCAAGUUUCCCAAAGUACCAUCUGAACAAACAUGCCAGAAACAAAAGGUUUCAAAAUGAAUGCUGAGCUCUUGGCACCUUUUCAUGGAUCAACUGGAUCACAUCAGGUCUUGUGUAAACAUUCUAUUGACAAUCAGCAGCAGGAACCAUUUCCCUCUCCUCCUCCUCCAUUGUCGCUGAAGAUCACAUCUGGCUUUGUAUCAGAUUUCUCCCUGUCAACCAACAGACUAAGAAACUAGAUGUAAGCUGGUUGAGCCAUUUGUCAUACUUGCAUAGAUCAAUACUAUAGACAUUACUCUGCAGUUUCCAGCCACAUUAAAAGUUACACACAGAUUCUCUUCUCCCUUGUGCAUCUUUGAACCAAUUUGUGUUAUGGGGUGAGGGAAGAAGAAUUGGCAUGGAAUGUAUUUUAGAGUUUCACUGCAGAAAGACCAGACCAUGAUUCAUUGGCAGAGUUACCCAGAUAUAGAAAUGUCAUGGGAUGUUGCUGACAACAUUCAUGCUCUGUACUUUCUCUGACAUACCUGCACAACCAAAAUAACCUAACUGGUGACCCAUUCUACCUUUGGCAAUAAUCUGCAGUUCUGACUCUAAGAGAGAAGUAAAUUGUUUGGGGGAUAGAAAAGAGACAUCUGUACAACUAAUAAGAGAUGAAGAUUAUCCCAUUCAAAAGGAAGAGUUUUGAAAUGGGCGGUGCUCCUGAUGAAGAAAAUAGAUAAGAUGGAAAUUAAGCUCUGCUUUGAGGAAUCAACUGGAAGUGGAGAUUGGGAGAAAAUAGGAAAUUAUCUCUUAUUUUAAGGUAAGAUAGAUAAGAUAACCUUUAUUGUCAUUUUUAUUCUGUGGGCACAAUGGCACACAUCAAAAAUGAAAUUUAGUUGCCUGCUCUCAAAGUGAAACACAUACAUGAC